AGUGAACGCUGGCGGCGUGCUUAACACAUGCAAGUCGAACGAGAACGGAAUAUAGCUUGCUAUAUUUGUCAGCUAAGUGGCGCACGGGUGAGUAAUGUAUAGAUAACCUGCCCUUAAGAAAGGAAUAACAGUUGGAAACGACUGCUAAUGCCCUAUAUGCCUUUAAUACAUAAGUAUGCAAGGGAAACGCUUUAGUGCUUAAGGAUGGGUCUGUAUGGUAUCAGCUUGUUGGUGAGGUAAUGGCUCACCAAGGCUAUGACGCCUAACUGGUUUGAGAGGAUGAUCAGUCACACUGGAACUGAGACACGGUCCAGACUCCUACGGGAGGCAGCAGUGGGGAAUAUUGCACAAUGGACGAAAGUCUGAUGCAGCAACGCCGCGUGGAGGAUGACACAUUUCGGUGCGUAAACUCCUUUUAUAUAGGAAGAUAAUGACGGUACUAUAUGAAUAAGCACCGGCUAACUCCGUGCCAGCAGCCGCCGUAA
rnacentral:rRNA from 1 species